UACGUAGGCAGCGAGCGUUGUUCGGAGUUACUGGGCGUAAAGGGUGUGUAGGCGGUCCUCUAAGUUUGGUGUGAAAUCUCCCGGCUCAACCGGGAGGGUGCGCCGAAAACUGGAGGGCUAGAGUGCGGGAAGGGAGAGUAGAAUUCCUGGUGUAGCGGUGAAAUGCGUAGAUAUCAGGAGGAACACCUAUUGCGAAGGCAGCUCGCUGGGACGUAACUGACGCUGAGACGCGAAAGCGUGGGGAGCAAACAGG
rnacentral:rRNA from 1 species